UACAGAGGUCUCAAGCGUUUGUUCGGAUUCAUUGGGCGUAAAGGGUGCGUAGGCGGCGCGGUAAGUCGGGUGUGAAAUCUUGGAGCUUAACUCCGAAACUGCAUUCGAUACUGCCGUGCUUGAGGACUGGAGAGGAGACUGGAAUUUACGGUGUAGCGGUGAAAUGCGUAGAUAUCAAGAGGAAUACCUGAGGUGAAGACGGGUUGCUAGGCCGACACUGACGCUGAAGCGCGAAAGCCAGGGGAGCAAACGGG
rnacentral:rRNA from 1 species